rnacentral:rRNA from 1 species
UACAGAGGGUGCAAGCGUUGUUCGGAAUUACUGGGCGUAAAGCGCGUGUAGGCGGCGGCGUAAGUCGAAUGUGAAAGCCCUUGGCUUAACCAAGGAAGUGCAUUCGAUACUGUGUUGCUUGAGUACCGGAGGGGAUGGCGGAAUUCCUGGUGUAGAGGUGAAAUUCGUAGAUAUCGAGAGGAACACCGGUGGCGAAGGCGGCCAAACUGGACGAAUACUGACGCUGAGACUCGAAAGCGUGGGGAGCAAACAGGA